UCCAAGCUACCAAACGCGACCAAAAAGAAAACCUAUCUUGCAAAGGUUCACAGUGGGCUUUUUAUUUGGUUUUGGUUUUGCAUAACAUAUAUGGGGACAAACUAACAUUCAGAGUCUUAUCUUAUUGUGAUCAGUGAGCAAAACCAAGCGCUCUUUGCAGUGACUAUUAAGUGUUUCCUAUGUAGUCUUGGUAUUCCAAUCAAGGCAGGCACAUUUUCACUAAAUACGAAAGAGCAACAACCUCAAGGUUCAGUUAUUCUAUAAGUCCCCUAACUGAUGAUGCACAACAGAAAACUAGAAUGCUCAGCCAAGAUUACAACUCAAUAACAUCUAUAACCUUAUAUGCAAUUAACUGAUGUGUAGCAAUGACAGGUACAUGUGACUUAGUUGGUGUAUGUCAUGUUAGGGAAAAACACCAACUCAAAACACGAUCAACAAGAUGGUAAAUCUCUUUGUCUCUUCCGUUUCACUGGUGAUUUUGCAGAUGCUACAUACCUGUUGCAUUUUCUUUUCACACUCUGGCUUUCUAUGUCUCCACUCUUUUUUUCCAAUGUAGUACAAAAAGGAAAAGGAAAUAAGAAAUAAGGAGCAUAUGGAACAGGAUCUCAGAAAAUAUCCUAAAUAGAGGAGGGUGGCGUAAUGGUUGCAGAUGAAAGAGAUAUUUUGAGGAAGCUUUUGUGAUCUGUUCAGUAGUUGUGUUGUUUAG